UUUGGCCUGAGGAGGAUUUAGAGAGGGUUUCUGGAAGGUCAGAGGUCACUGGCAGACAACACUCGAGCUGGCAGAGAUUCAGUAGCGUUGGUGCAGGAAAAUUACAGGUUCUCACUUAAGAAGACACAUAAUACUGUCAACCACAUCCAAACCGCUCUUCCCAAAAUAAACCAGCAGCCAGAUCAGAGCGUUUUGCUCGUGAACCGGGAGUCUCUGGUGCUGCUGCUGAUGGUUGAAGAACUGCAGCUGAACUUCAGUAUUUACUUCAGACUGAAGAUGAAGAGAGGCUGUCUGACUCUGGUCCAAAGAUUCUUGCCACAACAGCUCCACACUGACACUCUGGAGCAGAGAUAUUAUACAGAACACUACAGCACAAUGUACAGAACACUACAGGAAACUAUCGAAGGAAGCCUGAGAUGCAGGUUUUCCGAAAGCGGAGAUAUUUAGCUGCUCUGGUUUAAAAUGCUUCACUAAUUUUACUGUAUUUGAAUGGAUGUUACUGCAGCCUCAGAGUGCUGUGCAGCUGUGAUGUUAAGAUCAGGAGCAAAAACAUUAAUGUUAAUAACAGUCCCGUCACAUAGAGGCUUUGACCUAGACCCCUCAGGC